AGUUGGUUCCUUAGAUCGUACAAUCCUACUUGGAUAACUGUGGUAAUUCUAGAGCUAAUACAUGAAGCACGGCUCUGACCUCGCGGAAAGAGCGCGUUAAUAGACCAAAACCAGUCGGGUCCGCAAGGGCCCGUCGGAUUGGUGAGACUGGAUAACUUUGUGCUGAUCGCACGGCCUCGCGCCGGCGACGUAUCUUUCACAUGUCUGCCCUAUCAACUUUCGAUGGUACGUGAUAUGCCUACCAUGGUUGUAACGGUUAACCGGGAAUAAGGGUUCGAUUCCGGAGAGGGAGCAUGAGAAACGGCUACUACAUUCAAGGAAAGCAGCAGGCGCGCAAAUUACCCACUCCUGGCACGGGGAGGUAGUGACAAAAAAUAACAAUACGGGACUCUUUCAAAAAAGCUCGUAGUUGGAUCUCGGGUCCAGGCUGGCGGUCCGACGCCUGUCGGUUACUGCCUGCUCCUGACCUACCUCCCGGUUUUUCGCCCUUGGUGCUCUUGACUGAGUGUCUCUGGUGGCCGGAACGUUUACUUUUACAAUAAAA
rnacentral:lncRNA from 1 species